AUUGAACGCUGGCGGCAGGCCUAACACAUGCAAGUCGAACGAGUGGCGGACGGGUGAGUAAUGUCUGGGAAACUGCCUGAUGGAGGGGGAUAACUACUGGAAACGGUAGCUAAUACCGCAUACCAUCGGAUGUGCCCAGAUGGGAUUAGCUAGUAGGUUGGGUAAAGGCUCACCUGGGCGACGAUCCCUAGCUGGUCUGAGAGGAUGACCAGCCACACUGGAACUGGGACACGGGCCAGAGUCGUACGCGCGGCAGCAGUGGGGAGUAUUGCCCAAUGGGGGCAAGCCUGAUGCAGCCAUGCCGCGUGUAUGAAGAAGUCCUUCGGGUUGUAAAGUACUUUCAGCGGGGAGGCGUUACCCGCAGAAGAAGCACCGGCUAACUCCGUGCCAGCAGCCGCGGUAAUUC
rnacentral:rRNA from 1 species